AGCUGUACGUAAGCGUUGAUCCAGAGAUUUCCGAAUGGGGGAACCCACUAUCUUUAGUCGGAUAGUAUCCUUACGUGAAUACAUAGCGUGAGGAAGGCAGACCCAGGGAACUGAAACAUCUAAGUACCUGGAGGAAGAGAAAGAAAAAUCGAUUUCCUGAGUAGCGGCGAGCGAAACGGAAAGAGCCCAAACCAAGAAGCUUGCUUCUUGGGGUUGUAGGACACUCUAUACGGAGUUACAAAAGAAAGUUAUAAAUGAAGCGGUCUGGAAAGGCCCGCCAAAGACGGUAACAGCCCGGUAGUUGAAAUGGCUUUCCCUCCAGAGUGGAUCCUGAGUACGGCGGAACACGUGAAAUUCCGUCGGAAUCCGGGAGGACCAUCUCCCAAGGCUAAAUACUCCCUAGUGACCGAUAGUGAACCAGUACCGUGAGGGAAAGGUGAAAAGCACCCCGGAAGGGGAGUGAAACAGUUCCUGAAACCGUGU
rnacentral:rRNA from 1 species